AUCCCUCCUUCCCGACUAGAAACUCUGUCAUCCCCAGUAGCCUUGGCCGGAGUCUCUUCUCUGGUAGCUGAAGAAUAGGCUGGUUGUAAGUCGAGGGGGCUCGACACAGCGCUUGGCUCUUUGAAAAUGCUUAACGAAUGGCAUCGUCGUCAUCCGGACGGUGAUUUAACGGCCAGCUCCCCGUGAUCCUGUCCUGCUCCUUCUCGGGCUUUCCCAGCACUGUGGGCUAGGAGCUCAGUGAGCGGGGAUUCUUCCCCAUUUCACCUAGCCGAGGAUGCCUGUCCGGAAUAACGACGUCUUCCAACUCUGCCGUGCUAGUGCUCAGUACAGCGCUCCGCCGACAGUGAACGCUCAGUCAAUGCCACCGGUGGACGGAUGGAGUGAUUCCGUCGGAGAAUCGGGGCUGGGGCUCCCCAAGCUCAACUCUGCCACUGCCGUGCCGGCCUACGCUCGGCUCUGCCUCUGGGAGCCAAAGGGGGGGGGGUGGUCUGAUUCCGUCUGAGGGUCACCUUCUGCCGGAAAGAAAAGCGGAACGAGCCCAGAAUACAGACGGGUUAGGAGAAGUCGGUGGCCAAUUAUGUUUUCUUGGGGAAACUUUCCUCCCUCGACUCCUUCGGAUUUCCGACCCCUCCUUCUCGGUGCUCGUCAGAGGUGAGUCGCUGAGUCCCAGUGAAAGACUUAAACUUCGAGAUUCUGAAUUCCCCGGGGCUGGACCUCUGGCCUUGCUUGUUCUGGGUGCUUUUGCUGUGGUAAUUAAUUACCAUAUCGGUCUUCUGGGUAAGUGCUUUGAGGCUCUGGGCGUUAGACAUAUUUUCAACAAGUCAAAUGAAUUCUGAACUCCAAAGGCA